AGUGAACGCUGGCGGUAGGCCUAACACAUGCAAGUCGAACGGCAGCACAGGAGAGCUUGCUCUCUGGGUGGCGAGUGGCGGACGGGUGAGGAAUACAUCGGAAUCUGCCCAGUCGUGGGGGAUAACGUAGGGAAACUUACGCUAAUACCGCAUACGACCUUCGGGUGAAAGAGGGGGAUCGCAAGACCUCUCGCGAUUGGAUGAGCCGAUGUCGGAUUAGCUAGUUGGCGGGGUAUUGGCCCACCAAGGCGACGAUCCGUAGCUGGUCUGAGAGGAUGAUCAGCCACACUGGAACUGAGACACGGUCCAGACUCCUACGGGAGGCAGCAGUGGGGAAUAUUGGACAAUGGGCGCAAGCCUGAUCCAGCCAUACCGCGUGGGUGAAGAAGGCCUUCGGGUUGUAAAGCCCUUUUGUUGGGAAAGAAAUCUUUCAGGCUAAUACCCUGGGAGGAUGACGGUACCCAAAGAAUAAGCACCGGCUAACUUCGUG
rnacentral:rRNA from 1 species